rnacentral:rRNA from 1 species
AUUGAACGCUGGCGGCAGGCCUAACACAUGCAAGUCGAGCGGGGUUUUCGGACCUAGCGGCGGACGGGUGAGUAAUGCGUAGGAAGCUACCCGAUAGAGGGGGAUACCAGUUGGAAACGACUGUUAAUACCGCAUAAUGUCUACGGACCAAAGUGUGGGACCUUCGGGCCACAUGCUAUCGGAUGCGCCUACGUGGGAUUAGCUAGUUGGUGGGGUAAUGGCUCACCAAGGCGACGAUCCCUAGCUGGUUUGAGAGGAUGAUCAGCCACACUGGAACUGAGACACGGUCCAGACUCCUACGGGAGGCAGCAGUGGGGAAUAUUGGACAAUGGGCGCAAGCCUGAUUCAGCCAUGCCGCGUGUGUGAAGAAGGCCUUCGGGUCGUAAAGCACUUUCAGUAGGGAGGAAGGGUGUUGUGUUAAUAGCACAGCAUUUUGACGUUACCUACAGAAGAAGCACCGGCUAACUCUGUGCCAGCAGCCGCAGUAACAC